rnacentral:rRNA from 1 species
CCUACGGGAGGCAGCAGUGGGGAAUAUUGGACAAUGGGGGCAACCCUGAUCCAGCAAUGCCGCGUGUGUGGAGAAGGCCUUCGGGUUGUAAAGCACUUUUAUCCGGAACGAAACGCGCUUGGUGAAUAGCCAGGCGAACUGACGGUACCGGAGGAAUAAGCACCGGCUAACUUCGUGCCAGCAGCCGCGGUAAU